rnacentral:rRNA from 1 species
AGUGAACGCUGGCGGUAGGCCUAACACAUGCAAGUCGAACGGCAGCACAGUAAGAGCUUGCUCUUACGGGUGGCGAGUGGCGGACGGGUGAGGAAUACAUCGGAAUCUACUUUUUCGUGGGGGAUAACGUAGGGAAACUUACGCUAAUACCGCAUACGACCUACGGGUGAAAGCAGGGGAUCUUCGGACCUUGCGCGAUUGAAUGAGCCGAUGUCGGAUUAGCUAGUUGGCGGGGUAAAGGCCCACCAAGGCGACGAUCCGUAGCUGGUCUGAGAGGAUGAUCAGCCAUACUGGAACUGAGACACGGUCCAGACUCCCACGGGAGGCAGCAGUGGGGAAUAUUGGACAAUGGGCGCAAGCCUGAUCCAGCCAUACCGCGUGGGUGAAGAAGGCCUUCGGGUUGUAAAGCCCUUUUGUUGGGAAAGAAAAGCAGCAGGUUAAUACCCCGCUGUUCUGACGGUACCCAAAGAAUAAGCACCGGCUAACUUCGUG